AUAGCCAAAGGUUCCUUCUGGGAGACCAACCAGAGGUCCUCCUGCAGGUGAAGCUCAUCCUGCUACCAUCUCACGCCUGUGAGAUACUUUUGAGAGUGUUGUCAUCUAUCCAGAUGAACUGGGUGAUGCUCUUCUGCGCUGGACACUCAGCAUACGCUUCAAGCUCACUUGGUCUAACCUGGGACUUGGACCAACAUUCAACCUGGGGUGAAGCCUCACAACUGGUGGGCUGAGCUCCUGUUACUGCCCCGCUCACUGCCCCCUGUAGUAUGGCAAAUAAACUUGUUUUCUUUCUA
rnacentral:lncRNA from 1 species